AUGAUCGUAAUAGUAGUACAAACUGGUCUGAAACAAAUUUUUCUUUCUCAUCAUUGUAGAUGUUCCAUGUUCACUGUGGUGGCUUUCAUCUUUUCCUUGGAAAUCAUGCAAAAUCACAGCUUUGUAACUGAGUUUGUACUCUUGGGGCUCUCACAGAGUCCAAAUGUGCAGAAAACAAUAUUUGUUGUAUUCUUGUUCAUUUACAUUGCAACUGUUGGGGGCAACUUGCUAAUUGUGGUGAUCAUCAGUAGCAGCCCAGCACUCUGGGGCUCCCCCAUGUACUUCUUCCUGGCUUUUCUGUCCUUCCUGGAUGCAUGCUUCUCCUCUGUCAUUGCCCCAAAGAUGAUUGUGGACUCUCUCCAUGAAAGGAAAACCAUUUCCUUCAGAGGCUGCAUGACCCAGAUCUUUGCUGAACACUUCUUUGCUGGGGUGGAGGUGAUUGUCCUCAGUGCCAUGGCCUAUGACCGCUAUGUGGCCAUCUGCAAGCCCUUGCACUAUUCUUCUAUCAUGAACCACAGACUCUGUGUCCUUCUGAUGGCGGUAGCCUGGACAGGGGGUUUUGUUCAUUCCAUGAUACAGAUUCUCUUCACUUUCCAGCUGCACUUCUGUGGCCCCAAUGUCAUCGAUCACUUCAUGUGUGACUUGUACCCAUUGCUGGAACUUGCCUGCACUGACACUCACAUCUUUGGACUUUUGGUAGUCACCAACAGUGGGUUUAUCUGUAUCCUAAUCUUCUCCUUGUUGCUUGUCUCCUAUGGGGUCAUCCUGCUGUCUCUGAAAACCCAUAACUCUGAAGGGCAGCAGAAAGCCCUCUCCACCUGUGGAUGUCACAUUGCUGUUGUGAUUUUAUUCUUCGUCCCAUGCAUAUUUGUGUAUGCACGACCUCCAUCUGCUUUCUCCUUUGACAAAAUGGUAGCCAUAUUUUACACCAUCUUAACUCCCUUGCUCAAUCCUUUGAUUUACACGUUCAGAAAUAAGGAAGUGAAAAGUGCCAUGAGGAAAAUGUGGACCAGAAUAAUGGUGGUUUCUAAUGAAAAAUAA
rnacentral:lncRNA from 1 species